CCUACGGGAGGCAGCAGUGGGGAAUUUUGGACAAUGGGCGCAAGCCUGAUCCAGCAAUGCCGCGUGAGUGAAGAAGGCCUUCGGGUUGUAAAGCUCUUUUGUCAGGGAAGAAACGGUGGUUCCUAAUAUGGACUACUAAUGACGGUACCUGAAGAAUAAGCACCGGCUAACUACGUGCCAGCAGCCGCGGUAAUACGUAGGGUGCAAGCGUUAAUCGGAAUUACUGGGCGUAAAGCGUGCGCAGGCGGUUAUAUAAGUCAGAUGUGAAAUCCCCGGGCUCAACCUGGGAACUGCAUUUGAGACUGUAUGGCUAGAGUGUGUCAGAGGGGGGUAGAAUUCCACGUGUAGCAGUGAAAUGCGUAGAUAUGUGGAGGAAUACCGAUGGCGAAGGCAGCCCCCUGGGAUAACACUGACGCUCAUGCACGAAAGCGUGGGGAGCAAACAGGAUUAGAUACCCUGGUAGUCCACGCCCUAAACGAUGUCUACUAGUUGUCGGGACUUAAUUGUCUUGGUAACGCAGCUAACGCGUGAAGUAGACCGCCUGGGGAGUACGGUCGCAAGAUUAAAACUUAAAAGGAAUUGACGG
rnacentral:rRNA from 1 species